CCCCGGCUGACUCUAGUCAACGUCUGCAUACCAUCUACCUGCCUCUGCUUCUACCGUCACCGCCUCCGCCUCCGCCUCCACCACCACCGCCGCCGCUACUGCUGCUGCCAUCGCUCGAAAAAUGCGUGAUAUUGACGUACCGCGACCGAUACAUAGUCCAUUAACCUCUCGCCAACGGCGGAAAGGUACAACGAACUGCCGAAAACCACUUUAACUGCUUACCGCGAGACCGCAGAAGCAAUGAUUCAACUUGUCGAUAUCGAUUUCCUGGAGCUGCUUCAACCAAGGUAUCAACGAGUCACUGGUUUUUUUCGGCCCACAUAUUAUACGUCAGUGGCCGUGUUCAUUCGCCGACUCAUGGGAUAAUGCGAUGCGACGAGCGUCAAAAUUUCAAGCUGUCGUAGGAACUGCUUUUCGAGCAGACUUAACCGAAGACAAGGAAGAUGGAUUAUAUACUUUAAUUUUCAUACUGUGUAUAUAAUUGAGGGUUCUUCGUUGUAUAUGCGUUAUAAACGCAACGUUUCUGAAUAUAUUAUAACUUUUUAACAUACAUACAUGUAUGCAUAUGCACUAUGCUACCAUAGUUGAAAAGUUUACGUCUUAUGUAUACAAUUUUUAUAAAUAUCCUGUUAUACGUUUAUGUUCGCCGAUUAAAUUCUGACCAAAACCCAAGCUUCUCUAUUAUGGUAGCUGUGUAUUAAUUUUAUUUUAUCUCUUCUUAAAUUUAAAUAAAGCAACUAUUAUUUCGA